GGCCACCCUACCAUUGUGAUCUCAACUGAUCCUGCUCACUCCUUAAGUGACUCUUUUUCUCUGGAUUUGGCAGGAGGGAAUCUUGUUUCUAUCGAUGGACUGAAUUCUCCUUUGUUGGCUCUUGAGAUAAAUCCAGAUAAAGCCAAAGAG